AUGCCUAACAUAUGCAAGUCGCGCGGGCGGUAGCAAUACCGUUAGCGGCGGACGGGUGAGGAACACAUAGGAAUUUGCCUUUAGUUGGGGGAUAGCCCAGGGAAACUUGGAGUAAUACCGCAUGAUGUCGCAAGACCAAAGCAGGGGAUCGCAAGACCUUGCGCCUUUAGAGGAGCCUAUGUCUGAUUAGCUAGUUGGUAGGGUAAUGGCCUACCAAGGCGACGAUCAGUAACUGGUCUGAGAGGACGAUCAGUCACGCUGGAACUGAGACACGGUCCAGACUCCUACGGGAGGCAGCAGUGGGGAAUAUUGGACAAUGGGCGCAAGCCUGAUCCAGCAAUGCCGCGUGUGUGAAGAAGGCCUUCGGGUUGUAAAGCACUUUAGGCCGGGAAGAAAAAAUCAGGGCUAAUAUCCUUGAUCUUGACGGUACCGGAAGAAUAAGCACCGGCUAACUCUGUGCCAGCAGCCGCGGUAAUACAGAGGGUGCGAGCGUUAAUCGGAUUUACUGGGCGUAAAGCGUGUGUAGGUGGUUGUUCAAGUCGGUUGUGAAAUCCCUGGGCUUAACCUGGGAACUGCUUCCGAGACUGAGCGACUAGAGUACGGUAGAGGGCGGUGGAUUUCCGGUGUAGCGGUGAAAUGCGUAGAUAUCGGAAGGAACACCAAUGGCGAAGGCAGCCGCCUGGGCCUGUACUGACACUGAGACACG
rnacentral:rRNA from 1 species